GUGGGGAAUAUUGGACAAUGGGCGCAAGCCUGAUCCAGCCAUACCGCGUGGGUGAAGAAGGCCUUCGGGUUGUAAAGCCCUUUUGUUGGGAAAGAAAUCCUGUCGGUUAAUACCUGGCGGGGAUGACGGUACCCAAAGAAUAAGCACCGGCUAACUUCGUGCCAGCAGCCGCGGUAAUACGAAGGGUGCAAGCGUUACUCGGAAUUACUGGGCGUAAAGCGUGCGUAGGUGGUGGUUUAAGUCCGUUGUGAAAGCCCUGGGCUCAACCUGGGAAUUGCAGUGGAUACUGGAUCACUAGAGUGUGGUAGAGGGAUGCGGAAUUUCUGGUGUAGCAGUGAAAUGCGUAGAGAUCAGAAGGAACAUCCGUGGCGAAGGCGGCAUCCUGGGCCAACACUGACACUGAGGCACGAAAGCGUGGGGAACAAACAGGAUUAGAAACCCCAGUAGUCC
rnacentral:rRNA from 1 species